GAUGAAGAACGCAGCGAAAUGCGAUACGUAAUGUGAAUUGCAGAAUUCAGUGAAUCAUCGAAUCUUUGAACGCAUAUUGCGCUCUCCGGUAUUCCGGAGAGCAUGCUUGUUUGAGUAUCAGUAAACACCUCAACUUCCAUAUCUUUUUUUGAAAUGGGAGUUGGACUUGAGUGAUCCCAACGCUUUUCCUCACCGAAAAGUGGCGGGUUACUUGAAAUGCAGGUGCAGCUGGACUUUUCUCUGAGCUAUAAGCAUAUCUAUUUAGUCUGCCUAAAAAACAGAUUAUUACCUUUGCUGCAGCUAACAUAAAGGAGAUUAGUUCUUGUGCUGACUGAUGCAGGAUUCACAAAGACAGCUUCGGCCGACUUUGUAAACUCGAUCUCAAAUCAAGUAAGACUACCCGCUGAACUUAAGCAUAUCAAUAAGCGGAGGA
rnacentral:misc_RNA from 1 species